rnacentral:lncRNA from 1 species
CAGUCACUAUUUCAAGAACUUCACUCUCCAAAAUGUGAACUUGGCACAGUCCCAGAGAUCUCUGUCCUCUGUUGUCCUCAGCAAGAGGGUGUUGUGAGUCUAUGUUGGUGGCCACUCCACAGUGACCUCUGACAUGCAAAUUGAGGGUAGGAGUGACCACAGUUUGCUCCUUCGGUGGCACCACUGACAAUAGCAGAUGGUAAGCAUUUCUUGCUUUUGGUGGUAGAGUCCUUAAAGGGGACUGGGUUCUGCACUCACAAUUAAUGUGACAUAU